UCGGUGUGUGUGGCAUUACACCUACCAAUUAAUUUUAGCGGUGCACUUACUCUGGGUUGGAGCUGGUGCAGCGAUGAAAAAUCCCCAAUUGCCUCAGGUGUACCACGAACCCUGUACCUACCAGCCUUGAGUCCGCUUAACCAUCCACUUCUUAAGGUACAAUGCCCCUUCCUUACCAUCACGGGUUAAAGUCAUUAAUAAAACACAAAUCGAAAUAACUCUUUGACAUAGUUUAUUGCUAUUAUGCUACAUUAAUCACAAAAAUGAGUGUAAUGGCGGCCAAGCGACCACGUCAAAUUAAUAUCAAAGGGUUUUUUUUCCUUAAAAAGAUAGCAAACUGGUCUGCGUUACUACACGUAAAGGAAACAAUAUUGACAACAACGUGGAGUAAGAAUUAAAAAAAAAAAAAAAAGAGAGCAUCAACAGUAACAACGUGAAACAACGUCUACGUAACGAGUCCGAUGACGUAACAAUGGAAUUGCUACGUCAGCCUGGCGAGGCCAAAAAAGUAACAAUAGGAUUUCUACCUCAGUGUGACGAGGACCUAUGACGUAACAAUGAAAGUGCUACGUCUGCUGCUAUGAUGAGGAUGGUGACAACAAUGGAAUUGCUAUUUUGAGUGCAAAAUAUGUCGAGUUCUUUCCCUUUAGAUCCGGGCCACACUGGCACUGUCCUGUCACGUGAUGACAGAUAUAGCCAGGAGCGCACUCACAUUUACCUCGGCAGUGUGGACCAAAGGUACCCAGGGAACACUCUACAAAAGCUCAUUCCCCUCCAGCCUGGAGCGCAGAUGCAUUCUCCUGUGACUGGGUCGCAUUCAGCGCUGUUCUGACACAGACAUUUCCUCAAACAGUUGGAGCCAAACCGACCAGGAGGACAUGCUGCAAAUACAAGUAUUAGCAUGUUAAUAAAAUAAUAAUAAAAUAAAGUUUUCAAAA